UGCAGCUGGCAGAACGAUAUACUCAUCGAUAGAAGCAUCUGCAGGAGAAUUGCUUGGCGUAGAUUGGAACGUCUGUUACAUCGACUUUGAAAGUUCCAAUGGGACUUGGUCGACGGAUUGUUUCAUUACGUGCAGUGUGAAUGGAUAGACAUUUCUUUAAUUGUUACGUGGCUAAUGCUUUCUUUAAGCUUGACUUCACGACUCACUGAAUGAUAAUGUGUCACUCAUUUCUACUAAAUGUUGUUGCUGGCGUAUUCUGGGCAAAUAUUGCAACUUUUGUCUUGGCAAUCUAUUUCAAUGACUAUGGUAGUUGAAGUUUUCCAAACAGUUGCAUUCAUAUCACGUUAAGAUAUAAUAGGAAAUAGUUUUUGAUAUUCUAGGAUGGCUGCUAUUUUCAGAUUUAAGGAUUGCUAAUAUAAAUAUUUUUCGUUAGAACUUAUGUUGACGAAAACUCACAGCGUUCCAAGCAGUUUGUUCUCAUAGUGGACUCGAAUUACCCUGAGGACUAGUUUUACUCUACUAAGAAGGCUAAGCAACACUUUGAUGAGUGAUGAGUGAUGAGUGGAUAAAUCACAGGAAUACACUCCAUCUGGAAGCAUAAACCCUUGUGAUCUCAACCGAUUAACCGAGAACUGUACGGAAAUUGGAAAUAUAUUGUCAAGAGAGAAAUGUAUGUUUCCACUAACACUGAUAUUGACUGGCGGCCGAAAAUGUUGGAAGCUUUGGAUUGAUUGCUGAAAGGCUGGCCUACCCCACUUCUGUACAUUUUAGGAAGACUCAACUAAUCGGCCGCAGAGCGACAUCCGAACUCAUCGCUUUACAUUGAAGCUGCGGCAUUGCACAACUGGACAUCAAACACCACACCUUGGCAGCACACUAGGUUGUUUUGCUUUGUUCUUAGGAGAACAUUACCAUUACUCCUGGUAUUUGAAGAUAGUGACCAGUAUUUCAGGUAAUGAAACAAAUCUCUGAAUUUGAUAGCAACUACCUGACAGACGUUCGAAGCUGCUUUGUGCGUGAUUCUUUAGGAUAUGUGAUGUGAGAUUCGGUCACAAAAUGGCAACUGUGACAAACUCAACCACUAACAUGACAUAUUUAGACGAUGUUGACCCACUUGGUGUAAUUAUAGAAAAUAUGUCCGCACUGACUACACCAGUUGUGCCCUUAAUGAUGCGGCCACCAAAGGGUCGACCUCGGGGUCCGCCACGUGGCCCUCCCCCGGAAUUCUUUAGAUUGAUUGGAAUAUACGAUAUUGUGAACACGUAUGUUACACUGCCCAUUAUUAUCUUAGGCUUGGUGAUGAAUAUUGUAUUAAUAUAUGCAAUGAAGACAUCACGCUUAAAGAAUAUGGCUUACACUGUGAUCGUAUGCUCAUUGGCUGGAAGCGACUGUGGAUAUUUACUUGUGAAAUUCAUCGACUGGCUCGCAUUUGUUUUUAAGUUAAACGUGACGGCUCACCCUGGAAUGUGUCAGUUGUACACUUUCAUUUCGUUUUGUUUCUCAUUCCUGCCGCUUUGGUAUAUGUUGGGACUCUUGGCAGAGCGCUGUAGAGCUCUUACAAUUAUUUAUAUGAGAAAACCGCCCAGUGUCAAAUUCAGGGUCCGACUCUACAUCUUCUUGAUCACAUCUCUAUGCGUUUUGAUAUAUUCGAUAUGCCUCUGGGCUUACGGCGUGGGGGAGUAUAAGCGUGGACCUUUCGUGAUCAAGUACUGCAUGCCGAGAUCCCGCUAUGUGACUAUAUGGAAACCUUUCGUGAAAACCGACCUUGUAUUUUCAUUAGUAUUCCCAAUCGUAGGAAUCCUCCUAGUUUUUCCGUUUGAUUUAAUGUACUUCUUCGUGAACCACACGAGGACUCGAACAAUCCGUGAUGCGAGAGACAGAAACCACAGCGUGGCCCUGGCCUAUAGAGAUGAAAAGUGGUUCACCAUAUCUGUGUUAGUCGCCGUCGCUGUCCACAUUAUCCUUAUAAUCCCCGGCGCAAAAACUCGAUUCUUGGAGUUCAACCCGCCUCGGAUCCCCGACCAAGUAGAAGGAAUACGGGGUAGGCUUAUGGAGAUUAUCUGCCACACUGCUCACACCGUGAAGCCUUUCGUAUUCUUCGCCAUUAAUCCCGGUCUUCGCAAAAAGGUUUCUCGCUGGUUUCAACCGUUAAAAAAACUUCUGUUCAGGGGGAGAUUCGUGCAUAAUCCCCAGAGAAUUCCAACAAACUUGUGCUGAACGAUUAAUGAUGUGAUGGUGUUGCUUGUCAUUGGCUGCAAGAGGAUUCGAAACGAAUUUUCUGCCGGCAAGUGUGAUUCUUAUGGUUGAGACCUCGCAUUAAACAUUUGGUUCGAAGGGGCCAUUAUGAACGCUAAUGUCAGAAAUGUUGUGCCAGCAAAUUGUAUUUGCUUUGAGGCCAUCUCUGUGCAAUUUUAAGCCAGUGUGUAUGCCUUUUUGUGUAAUUCAUCAGACAAAGCUUCGAGUAACCAAAGAAACACCUUUUGUGGAUCUUCCUAAAAUUUUUUUGCAAGUUUUGCCGAGAAAGAUUGUUUUCUCUUUUUUAACCGAACCCUUCAUUGAGAUUCAUAAAGUGCAUGUUGCUUUUGAUGACUGCCGCUGACUUCUGUGACACACUCAAACACGUUCUUAUCACUUGGGCAUCAUCACGUCAUUUGUGUGAUCUGGUGUUGGUUAAUGGCAAAUAACUGUUGCAGUAGCUCUUCAUUCCUAUUUGUUCGUGAUACCUGAGAGAGGCAAGAAAAUGUGUUCUUAAGAACCGACAUGAAGCACCGAAUAAGGUGUUGAUAUUCUAGCCUUUUGAUCUCACUUGUGUGUCUGUCCAGUGUGUGUGCUUGUUACGCUGGAACGCUUAACCCAGCGCAAUUGGAAUGCAUAGUUGAAAUUAUACGUUACUCUCAAGAUGAGCAAAACGGUACGUUCCCCUUUUGGCAGGACUCGACACUACCUGUAUAGGUAACGAGAUUGUCCGUGUGAAAGGUUGUUGUGUGUGUGAUACAAAUCGACGCCAUCGCUUUAGGCAUGUAAGGUAUUUAGCGUCCGUAAGAUUAGCUUUACUAUCCAUUGGGCAGAUAAAGGUAUAUGCGAAUACAGGCUGAAAAGGCCUAAUAGUGUGAAUGGUGAAUGUGCUUCAAGUGAUGGUGUGACUGCAACUGUGAAUAAGCUUUACGUUCUAUAGUAUUUUUCUAAAGUUGGACUAGAUGUAUUUAUUAGAAAGAUUUCAGUGAACAGAGCUUGCAAUAUCUUGGACUACAUAGACAGUUUAAAAAUAUGUUCUGAACUUGUGGAGCCUAUUUCGCCACGCCCGGAAAAAAAACCUCUGCCAAGUGCUUUACAGUUUAUGCCAGCAAAUUAUGGAACUCGCUGGACACUAACACCCGCAACAGCUCCACCGUCAGCGAGUUCAAAAGAAGAUUAAAAACCAAACUAUU